rnacentral:rRNA from 1 species
UUUAUGGAGAGUUUGAUCCUGGCUCAGAGUGAACGCUGGCGGCGUGCCUAAUACAUGCAAGUCGAACGAUGAAGCUUCUAGCUUGCUAGAAGUGGAUUAGUGGCGCACGGGUGAGUAAGGUAUAGUUAAUCUGCCCUACACAAGAGGACAACAGUUGGAAACGACUGCUAAUACUCUAUACUCCUGCUUAACACAAGUUGAGUAGGGAAAGUUUUUCGGUGUAGGAUGAGACUAUAUAGUAUCAGCUAGUUGGUAAGGUAAUGGCUUACCAAGGCUAUGACGCUUAACUGGUCUGAGAGGAUGAUCAGUCACACUGGAACUGAGACACGGUCCAGACUCCUACGGGAGGCAGCAGUAGGGAAUAUUGCGCAAUGGGGGAAACCCUGACGCAGCAACGCCGCGUGGAGGAUGACACUU